UGUCCCAUGGUGUAAUGGUAGCACUACAGAUUUUGGUUCUGCCAGCGGUGGUUCGAGUCCACCUGGGACAACAA
rnacentral:tRNA from 1 species